rnacentral:lncRNA from 1 species
UAUUAUCAGUCGAUCAAACAAGAUAGUGAUGCAAUACCAAUAAAGCAUCCAUAACUCAAACACAUUGCCCUUUCAAAAAUGUAUACCCUCAUCAAGCCACACCAAUAAGUGAUUUUAUUUAUCUAGACAACUGAAGCUGCCUAUACUAUCAAAGACUUUGUGACCUUCCUUUCAAAUAUGAACUCUGGUCUUUGAUCGCGGCCUACUCUGCACAACUAAUUAUGUAGAGAGAGAGGGUUGGAGCAGCUUUUACCCGAUUUUGGGUCGGGAUCGAUAUCCACAGAGAGCUAGAAUUGGAGUAAAGUAUCUAUCUAGUUUAGGAUUACAUGUGUUCCAAAUUACACUCCUCAUCAUUUUUGGGGGUUUUGCUAUAAUUC